rnacentral:misc_RNA from 1 species
UACGGAGGGGGUUAGCGUUGUUCGGAAUUACUGGGCGUAAAGCGCGCGUAGGCGGGCUGGUCAGUCAGAGGUGAAAUCCCAGGGCUCAACCUUGGAACUGCCUUUGAUACUGCCAGCCUUGAGUUCGAGAGAGGUGAGUGGAACUCCGAGUGUAGAGGUGAAAUUCGUAGAUAUUCGGAAGAACACCAGUGGCGAAGGCGGCUCACUGGCUCGAUACUGACGCUGAGGUGCGAAAGCGUGGGGAGCAAACAGG